UACGAAGGGGGCGAGCGUUAUUCGGAAUCACUGGGCGUAAAGCGUGCGUAGGCUGUUCUGCAAGUCAGGAGUGAAAGCCCAAGGCUCAACCUUGGAAGCGCUCUUGAAACUGCAGGACUUUGGAUUUGGGGAGAGGAUAGCGGAAUUGUCAGUGUAGCAGUGAAAUGCGUAGAUAUUGACAGGAACACCAGUGGCGCAAGCGGCUAUCUGGACCAACAAUCGACGCUGGAGGCAACGAAAGCGUGGGGAGCAAACAGG
rnacentral:rRNA from 1 species